rnacentral:rRNA from 1 species
UACGUAGGGAGCUAGCGUUGUUCGGAAUUAUUGGGCGUAAAGCGCGUGUAGGCUGUUUAUUAAGUCGGGUGUGAAAUCCCUGGGCUCAACCUAGGAAGUGCAUUCGAAACUAGUAAACUAGAAGAUGGUAGAGGAAGGUGGAAUUCCAAGUGUAGAGGUGAAAUUCGUAGAUAUUUGGAGGAAUACCGGCGGCGAAGGCGGCCUUCUGGACCAUUCUUGACGCUGAGACGCGAAAGCGUGGGUAGCAAACAGG